rnacentral:rRNA from 1 species
CUAGUAGGCGGCUUAGCAAGUCGGGUGUGAAAACUUCAGGCUCAACCUGGAGCGGCCAUCCGAUACUGCUAUGGCUAGAGUCCGGUAGGGGACCACGGAAUUCCUGGUGUAGCGGUGAAAUGCGCAGAUAUCAGGAGGAACACCGAUGGCGAAGGCAGUGGUCUGGGCCGGAACUGACGCUGAAUAGCGAAAGCGUGGUGCGAACA